GGGCGAAUGGUCUAGUGGUAUGAUUCUUCCUUAGCAUGGAAGAGGUCCAGGGUUCAAUUCCCUGUUCGUCCA